GUGUUUAUUUACCUUGUUGCUUCGGCGGGCCCGCCUUAACUGGCCGCCGGGGGGCUCACGCCCCCGGGCCCGCGCCCGCCGAAGACACCCUCGAACUCUGUCUGAAGAUUGUAGUCUGAGUGAAAAUAUAAAUUAUUUAAAACUUUCAACAACGGAUCUCUUGGUUCCGGCAUCGAUGAAGAACGCAGCGAAAUGCGAUACGUAAUGUGAAUUGCAAAUUCAGUGAAUCAUCGAGUCUUUGAACGCACAUUGCGCCCCCUGGUAUUCCGGGGGGCAUGCCUGUCCGAGCGUCAUUGCUGCCCUCAAGCACGGCUUGUGUGUUGGGCCCCGUCCUCCGAUUCCGGGGGACGGGCCCGAAAGGCAGCGGCGGCACCGCGUCCGGUCCUCGAGCGUAUGGGGCUUUGUCACCCGCUCUGUAGGCCCGGCCGGCGCUUGCCGAUCACCCAAUUUUUACCAGGUUGACCUCGGAUCAGGAAGGGAUACACGCUGAACUUAAGCAUAUAUAAACCGGAGGAAAUUACGAGUGAGGGCCUCUGGG
rnacentral:rRNA from 1 species